AGGUUAAGUGAAUAAGGGCGCACGGUGGAUGCCUUGGCACUAGGAGCCGAUGAAGGACGGGACUAACACCGAUAUGCUUUGGGGAGCUGUAAGUAAGCUAUGAUCCAGAGAUUUCCGAAUGGGGGAACCCAAUAUCUUUUAUAGGAUAUUACUUUUCAGUGAAUACAUAGCUGAUUAGAGGUAGACGCAGAGAACUGAAACAUCUUAGUACCUGCAGGAAGAGAAAGAAAAUUCGAUUCCCUGAGUAGCGGCGAGCGAAACGGGAAGAGCCCAAACCAACAAGCUUGCUUGUUGGGGUUGUAGGACUCCAAUAUGGUAGUCUGUUAGUAUAGUUGAAGGAUUUGGAAAAUUCCGCUAAAGAGGGUGAAAGCCCCGUAGACGAAAUGCUAACAACACCUAGGAGGAUCCUGAGUACGGCGGAACACGAGAAAUUCCGUCGGAAUCCGCGGGGACCAUCCCGCAAGGCUAAAUACUCCCUAGUGACCGAUAGUGAACCAGUACCGUGAGGGAAAGGUGAAAAGCACCCCGGAAGGGGAGUG
rnacentral:rRNA from 1 species